rnacentral:sRNA from 1 species
GAUGGGUGCUGUGGCGCACGCCUGUAAUCCCAGCAGCUAGGGAGGCUGAGGCAGGAGGAUCAGGAAUUCAAAGUCAGCCUCAACAAAAGAGAGGUGCUAAGCAACUCAGUGAGACCCUGUCUCUA